UAUACGUCGUUUUCAAAAUUUGUUACUGAAUUGCCAUACACGUGGAAUUUUCCAUAAACCAGCUGCAAUUGGCUUCUUUAGUGGUGUUGAGAUAAUUCCAUAUUCACAAUCUACAUGCCAAACUGAGCCGAAAUCCAAAUUUUCAUGAACUUUGGUACCCGAGAACCUAUUUAAAAAUCGAUUUAAAGUUUGUAUGGGAGCGAUUUGUCGAAUCACCCCUCGUCGCAUUUCGUACUGGGCGGAGCUGUCAAGCAGUUGCCCAGCUGUCAAAAGGUGAUUUCAAAAAAUCUUUUUGUAAUUGAAUUUAGGUAUCAAAAUAAAGUUUUAAAAAUCUGAAAAAAAAUCAUACUGACUUAUAAAAAGGUGCUCUUUCGAAUAAAAUAAAAAAAUCAAUAUAUUAUUCUUAAUUUAAAAACCCAUUUGGUGAUUGGUACAAAUUAAGUACCUUACCAAGAAAAAAAUGUAAAAUUUAAAUUUAUACGUUGAAUAUGUAGUCCGUCCAAAGUCUUACACCGUACAUGAAACCGUUUUUAAUUAAAUUUUGUUUUAGAUUUUAUAGAGGCAUUUUAAAAUCUUCUCCUGUGUGAUAGGGAUAGGAUUUUUCAAAACACCAUCGUUCUUCUUCUGCUAUGUUCUGCUAUGUUCUCGUUUAGAUGUAUGCAGGGUACUGCGCCACUUGGGCAGUGGCUGGUAUUUUGGGUACUUUUCAGCUACAACUCAGUCAAUUUCAGAAAUUUAGCAAAACCUCGCGCCGCCCAGCAGGGACUGUACACAUUACAGCACCUCCAUGUCACGUAAUAUAUCACACCUCUUAUCAAAUGUGAUACCGUAAGCGUACCAUACUUUGCGCACCUAGGGCCUAACUUUGCGCACUUUUCAAAAAAUCGUUAAACAGUUUUUCUGGUGCAUUAUGCAAACUUUUUCCCACGAAAUACUAGUUAGUGAUAUGGGGUAUGCACUUUGUCUCAGUUUGGAUGUAAUGAUAAAUGGAAGAGGAAGACAAAUUGAUGAGUGAAUAUGCAGUUGCUUUCCCUCAAAUGCUGUAAAUAACGUUGUAGAAUGACGUAGGUUUUGUUUCAAAAUUUGUUUUAGUUUAGAUAGCAAUACCAUAAAGUAUUUGUGCACUCUCAAUUAUACAAUAAUAACCAAACUUGUUCCACAACAGAAUGUAAUAUUGAAAUGUUAUUUAAGGGCUGCAUACCAAUUGCUUGGUCAUAACAAAAUAAGAUUGUCCAACAAAAUAUGUUAUGGAAACGUAAUGCCUUGAUAAUUCAAUAAUAACAAAACAAGAUAUAAAAACAGGUUUUGUGAUUUCGUAGUUAUUAAUUUGAUAUUCCCCUCUGCUCGGGACAAACUGAUAUGUGGAAACUUUACGAAGCUGUCAAUCACGAGUGUCGAAAAAAAACGCAGUCUUUAGCCAGAUAGGCACAAAUGAAAAAUCACUGUCGAAAUAAAUAUUGCACAAAAACUUGAUGCAGUGAUUCGACCAAAACAGCGAUAAAUUACGUUGACGAUUGUUUAUAGUAUUCGGGGGGUAAAAAAUUCGAAGACCCAAAGUGAAUAAUGACAUUUUCUCCUUUUCAUUCGUGUUUUGCUGAAUUCAUUGUCGGCUGAAAUUUUCUCCUUUGUCGUUCAAUUCUCUGUCAUGAGUAUUUUCUUCCACAUCGUCAAACGUUCAAUAUUUAUUAACAUAUUUACAUUUAGACUUAAUAAACGAAUGAAGUUUUCAGUUAUCCUAGUGGUUAAGGCUAUGGAUCGGUAAUCCGGAGACGACGGGCUCGAUGCCCGUUCCAGUCGUGAAAAUUUUCUCGACUCCCUGGGCAUAGUGUAUCAACGUGCUUGAGGUAAAGAUGCCACAGUGGUUCCAUUUGUUCAGGGAAGCGGUCAUAAAUCAUUUUCUUCGGUUUUUGAAGGUCAGAAUCAUUUUUAAUAACCAGAAAUGGCUUGUUAUGACUAAAAAAAGGAUAUUCCAGUACGUUUUCAUGAACGCCACUUGAAAAAUAUUAACAUUGGACAUUUUUUUUUCAAUGAUAAUGAAUUAAAAAAGCUUUAUUUUGAACAAAAAUCAGUAAUCCAAUAGUUAUGAAGAGUGGGUCGAAUUAUAUUAGUUUCUGCUAAGUAUAACAAACUUAAACAUGUACCACACGACAGUAUCAUAACAGAUUUUUGUGAAUAUUACCAAUAUGUAUUAGUAUCUUAUUGUGAUUUAGUUAGUAGGUUUUUUUUAUCUAGCCAUAGGCUAGUUCAUCUCGGGACCCUCGGUUUACUUCCCUUCCGAAGGAAGAACUCACAUUUUGCGAGUUUGUCGGGAGUGGGAUUCGAUCCCAGGUCCUCGGCGUGAUAGUCAAGUGUUCUAACCAUCACACCACUGCCGUAAUUCUGCAAAGUGACGCAAGCGACAUUGCUAGUUUUGGACCAGGUUUUGGUUAUUAUGCAUAAAUCUCUUGCUUAUCCUCUAAGUUUCUUUCCAUAGAUGAUAGAUUACGACUAGAUCUUGCAUUCUAAUACAGCAAGCAUACCACAGUGUUAUUUUUACAUCAGAUAUUAUAUAUAAUAUACCAAAAAAUAUCGACAUUUUGAAUGGCGCUUACGUCACUUUGCAGAAUUACGGCAGACCAGGUCCGCUCCACAUUAGUAGGUUUUAUUUGUGCUAUAAUAACCCAUUAGGGGGAUUCACUAAACAACGAAAACUAAUUUAACUGAUUAAACGUCGCGAUCACCAAGGCAAUAUUUGAUUAUUUCAUUCGCAAAAUCAUGAAACAUUUCAAAUAAGCAGAAAAUCAUGGCUUACGCAGCAAUUUAUUUUGUUUAGUGAGUACCCCUAUUAUAUAUAAAACAGAAAUAAGGUAGUUUUCAUUGUUAUGCAGAAAAAUCAUCACAAAUUGAAUUAGUAUCAAACAACCAAUAGUAAUAAUUUUGAAACAAUAGAACAAUAGCGCAAUUACAGAAACAAUUACUACUUAAAUUGCAAAAUUUUAAAUAAAUAUACGGGAUUAUUUCACAAUACGUACGUAAAUGGAAAUUUCAAAACCUUAAAUUUAAUGCUUUAUACAGUUACAUGUCAUACGAUUCAUGAGCCUGCGUUUAAAAAAAAAAGUAUAUCCAGUCGCUUUUGUUUCUAGUAAUUGCAUUGGAAAUGCUAUCCAGUAAUAAAGCACGUGGAAUUUUAAUCAAAGAUAGAAAUAAAAGAAAUGCAUAUAUAUAAAUAUCGCUCCACCACAUUGCGAUAUGUAUAAUCGACAGAGUGCCUGCAAUAGUAUCAAAAACAUCAAUUUGAAUAGUAUGAUUUAAAAUAAAUAAAUUGAUCAAAUAUUUAGAUUUGGGUAGGGAAUAAGAAGAAUUAUGUCCAGUAAAUAUCACUCAAAGAACGUAUAUGCUCCUUCUUCCUGCACUACAGUUUUAGGUACUGGAUGGAUUUUGAGGAAAUUUUGUCAAUGUUAACAGUAAAUGCAAAGUUUCUUAUCAAAUUUGGCAAACACAAAGGUAGAGUUUGACGAGGUCAAAUGAGAAUGGAUGUUAAGCAAUUACUCAUACCUCAAGGCAUACCUCCACAUUUGUAUUUUUUUUUCAUAAUUAAAAAAAAGCAUUUAUAAAGUUUGAUUUCAAACAAAAUAUCCCUCAAUUUAUGUAAAAAACAUUGAAAUAUAUCCUGUAAAAUUUUCAGUAAUUUUGGUAUGAAUUUCAGUUACAGAAUGACUAGUACAUAUAUAUAAUCUUGUGGUUAUUAUAAUACAUAUUUUUAUGAAAAUAACGGGUAACUUCCAAUACAUCCUGCAAACGUGUAUGCAGAUAUUUACAGCUGCAACCUUCGCAGAUUGAUUCUACUACACAAAUCUGAUCAUUUGAUAGCUAAUGAUUGAUUAAAAGUGGUUAAGAACAUGUUUGAAAUGUUACAUGAAUUUUUAUUAUGCAUAUAUUCUAUGGGUAAAAUUAUGUGGCUAUUACUCAUAUCCCCAUUGGUCCAAAAACAUCCAAUUCCAUUUCUUGGUACUUUGAAAUUGACAGAUAAACAUCUAUUCUGAUUCUCUGCGUUAAAAACCAUUUGAAAAUCCACUUGGUUUGUUAUACGAAAGCGCGGUGUAAAACUCAGAAGUAAUGUAAUAUUCGGACAAAUUUUGAGAAUGUCAAAUUGCAUGACAGUACCCACGCGCCACUCACUCACGCAAAAUAUGCAACAGAAACUUAUCUAAAAAUGACUUUUCUGCAUUCUUUGGAACAUCAUUGAUUUGUAAAAAUUAUACAAACUCAUUAAUUGAAAAAUCAAUUUUUCGAUUUUUGGCCUAUGACGGUACCACUAUGCACUCUUAAGAAAACUUUAGCUUAAGAAACUCUUAUUCAGCUAGUUCUGUUUCUUGAGUAAAAAUACUCAAAAGGCCAAUCACGUGUAUUUCGUAUGGGAGUGGCCAAAUUAGAAGCACCCUUGUCAAAAUAGACUAAUGGAAGCUAAUUUUUAAGGGAUUUUUUUUGCAUUUUUUGUAUCUAAUUCUAUGGUUUUCACAUCUUUAAUAAUCAUAUUAUAGGGUGCAGAAGAAUAAUAGGGGUACUCACUAAACAGAUUUAAUUGCUGCGUUAGCCAUGAUUUUCUGCUUAUUUGAAAUUUUUAAUGAUUUUGCGAAUGAUUUAACCAAAGAUUGCCUUGGUGAUGGCGGCGUUUAAUCAGUUUAAUCAGUUUACGCUGUUAGGUGAAUCCCUCUAAUAUUGAAGAUGUUAAUACUGAAGCCAUUUUAGGGGCUUCAUAUCUUACGGGGAUAAAAAAAAACGAACGGUUUUCAUUGCAUAAUCUAGAAGUAUACUAGCUAAACAAAAUACAUUCAAAAUUCCAUAAAGAUGGGAGUACUAGACCCAAAAUAACCAAGGCAAUUGUAGCGCGCUCCUCCCCUCCUUAGGGAUAAGGCGAAAUUUUGAACGCUGUUAUCUCGAAAUGAUGUUUUUAAAAAGUGCCGUUAUGGUGAUCACGAUAUCUUAAAACUAUGGUUGACCGAUUUGAAAAUUUUGUUUUGUUCGUAUUUCAAAUCUCGAAGUAGAUCAAAACUGUUCUAUUUUUGGCUAAUAUUUGGGACUAUUCUUUAUAUAUGAGAAUGUUUUUUUUUGUGUCUGUGAAAGCAUAUUUACAUUAAAAAAAAAACAUUGAAAAAUUGAUGUUUUGGUCAUCUUCCAGAUGUCAUUGUUUCUCUAGUUUAAAAUCACAACAACUAGCAUAUUUUAAAUUUUACUUCAUUCAUUCUGUUAUAGUAAAAGAAUUUAGGGUAGAAGAAACCCUUCAAUUAUUUCCCUUAAAGAGAAGAAAAUAAAAUUUUCUAUGAAAAAAAAAUAAUAAAACAAAAAUAUUUUAACAAUAAUCAGAAAAUCUCAAAAUGUUUCUGAUUUGAAAAUUUGGUAACCCAAAUAGUCUCACAGUAAAAAUAUAAUAGCGUAAGGAUGUUCAAAAAUAAAAAUUAGGAAUAUCAAAAACCGAAAUUUAUAAAAUCGCGAAUUAAAAAGAAUCACCUUCCAAAAACAUGUUUCAUUCAACCGAACAAAAUAUGAUAAUUAGAUCAAAAUCUAAAAUGUAUGUAUUAGAGGGUUAAGGUGGAAAUAAUGGAAACAAUUGUUUCAGCAUGGUUCUAAUUCUGGUUAUGGAGAAAGUAGACAGAAAGAUAUUACGCGUUUCGCUGUAUACUACAUGGUGCGUACAAAAAGACGAGAUAGGAACCCAGGAACGUCAGUUUAUGAAUUAUCAGCGGUAGCCAUAAGACGUCCAAUCCCGUCCAAGACUUACAAGCUAUAUGCUAUAGGGCAGUGGUCAUCAAAGUGCGGCCCGCGGGCCGCACGUGAUGACGAGUUCUCUAUGUUGCCGUAGAAUUUCGUGCAAUGUUUCUUAAGGAAGUUGCUCUACUCCCAAAAUAAUCUAGAAUAACGUGCUCAUCGUUUCACAAAAGGAUCCAGGAGGUGCAUUGCCAGCAGUUGAAAAAAUAGGCCUGAAGAUCACUGCUAUAGGGUAAUAGUACCCUUAUUAAGCAUGUGGCUCCCAUUUUCAUCCUACGAAAAACAUAGAAUUUAAAGCGUGGUUUGUUUUGUUGCUUAUUUUUAUUUUUUUUUUGUUUGAAGUGAGCACGCAUGAAAACAAAAAGAACGGAAUCAAUCGGUGCCGUAAGCGCUUGUUAUCUAAUAGGUUGAAUAUGAGAGUGUGAGAUUACUGAUGGUACUUUUAUUGCAUUCGUAAAAAAAUGAUGUUUUCACCAAAACAAUUUGCAAUUUGUAAUUUGAUCAGUGAAUUAUGUAAACCUGAGUGUGUAGCAAUUCACGGUUGAUAAAAGUGCGUCAACUUUAAUACAUAGGUUAUCGAUACUAGUUUCGCAUGAAAAAAUGAUGUACAAAGAACCAAUAUUUGUCGUCAUUUGGCGUAUGCCCCAGCGGAUGGUUUUUGUUCUUUAUUUUAAGCUAUUUCUACGGGUCGAACGUGGCCUUGCCCGUAGAAGCACGGCCACUGUGAACGAAAACCUUCAAAAAAUAUGAUGUGAGCUGAGUGGUGCAAAAAUUUACUGAACCAUAUGCCGCCUGACGAGGAGACUUUAUUAAAUUUGAGCGAGGGUAAUGUCAUUUAUAUUUAUAUGCCACACAGUAUCCACACGGUGUGUAUAAUCGAACCGCUCCAAUCCAAUUUCUGACUAAAUAAGUGAGUGUGCGACGGACCAGGCAGGAGACGGCCAAUCUUUUUUUUUUUUUUUCAGGUGGUUCAGGAACGGUGAAGAAUGGACGAAGCGAAGGCGAACGUGCCGAGAAGUGGCAAAAAAAUGCGACGGACGAACCCUGCUGCUGCUGCUGCCUGAUUGGCAACCGGCUAAUAAAUAUGCAGGUACCUGCCAUAGCAAUGGGCGGGAACCGGUAGUGAAGUGAGUUAAUCUGAUUGUAAAACUGUGUCAAUUUUUAUAAUCCCUUCAAGUAAUAGCCAGCCGGAGCGCACAAAAUUUUGCAGGGUGUAUAAUUAAGAACCGGAUUGUGUUACUCCUCUGCAGAAGUCUGUAUAUCAUAUGUUUGUCUUGGGGCAGGGCUGCUAUAAACAACUCAUAAAUAUACUGGCCAACAGUGGAAAGGUUACCCAGAAAAAUAAAUCAGGAAAGUGUAAAAAUUUGCACAAUAUAAUGCAACCCGCCCUAAUUUCAAUAUUGCGCGGUGAUCUUCUGAUCGGUGUUGUGCUGAACGAUUUGAGAGUUUCAUCAAUACUCUCCGGGCAAGUUACGUUCAUUUCUAGUGGCCCAAAAUCCCGUAACUACUGUGGUCAACUUUGAAUGCAACAGGUUCCAAAAAUCAAUUGCGAAGAGAACAAAACCGUUGACAAUAGGUAAGUUCUCCUAUGUCAAUUUCGUCAGUUAGGGUAUGUGUACCAUCAGUAAUCUCACGCUCCCAUAUUCAUCCUAUUCGAAAACAAGCGAUUACGGCACCAAUUGAUUCCAUUAUUUCUGUUUUCAUGGGUGCUCACUUCUAACAAAAAAAUCAUAAAUAAACAGCGCUUCAAUCCUUUGUUUUUCCUUUGGUCCGUGUGUGCCAAGCUUAUGUGACUUAUAUUAGUACGUAAAAAACAGAGAUAACCCAAGUAACAAUCAAUAUGCCUUGAAGGUUUAUUCAUGUUUUAUCUUGGUUUUAUACGAGUAUGUGAAAAAGCUAUUAGUUUGAUGUGGCAAUUUUGCAGUUUGCACCUUUGGCAUUCCAUAAAACUAUCAUAUAACUUCUGCUAUAAACAUCUUCAAUUAAAGACAUGCAAGUAGUCAUGAAUUAGUUUUAUCACAUAUUAUAACAUACCAUUUUUAAAAGAAACUUGGAUUUGCACUUGCGAAGAGAUUUUUUUGUAUACAAAUAUACAAGACAGUGAGGCAAUGCUUAAAAACAAAAAAAAAAUCGUGGUCGUAACAUAGACCAUGAAAUGUUGUGAUAAAACCGUUAGUUCUAUCAUGAGCUCAGCUAUGACCACCUCAGGAGGCUAAGCCCUAUUGGAGAAAUCAUCAGGAAAACCGAGUUUUAUCAGAAAAAUAUGUCGCCUAGCCGGGAUAAUUUAUGUAAAAUACAGAAUUUACUUAAUUUUAUGAUUUCACGUACAGCUUAUGAUCAAACUUAACGAUUCAACACGUUUCCGUCGUUUUAUUUUCAGAAAAAUCACAUUAUGUCUUCGAAACUCCGCUAUGUUUAAAAAACAUUUUUGCACCAAAUUCCACCGAGUUAAUUAAAUACAUUUAACAUCCCAUAAUGCACAGUUUGUGUGACGCACUUAUUUUUUGUCAUUAUCACAGUCACAUUCACCACAAAUUUCCCGGUGCAUGUCUCCUAACUCGUAUUAAAUAGGAAAACAAAUCUGAAUUCCAGAUCGGCAUCUUUCCAAUUGAUGGCUGGAUUAACAACCUGACGAUCGAACAUUGAUAGUGAAAAAAAAAGCAAAACAAAUAUUUGACAAGUCAGAAGAUGGUUUUACGGGGAUACGAUAAAACUAUGAUACAACCCGAAAUCCUAAGCCGGUUUGUAUACUAAGUCUUGUAGAUCAUAAUAAGACUGGGCGAAUUGGCCAGAACGUGAACCAUAGGAGGCAUAUAAGAACUCGAGAGAACUUUCAAGUCGCCAUCAAUGGUUUUAUGGUUAGGGUUUUUGAAUCGCUAAAAAAAACUUUGAUAAAAUCAAAAUUGUCACUUGGGAAGUUCUUCUCAAUCACCAGAAUCCCAAUAAUCUUUCGCUCUGAUUGUACAAUUGAUUGAAUAUCGGAUAAACUAUAAAAAUAAACUUUGUUCCGACUUUUCGAACCCUCUUCGAAUUAGUGUAAUUAGUUUUGUACCUUUUAAUUCCACCCUGUUAUGCUUAUCCUUUGGCAGAAACGAGUAUUUCGACUACAAAUUGUAAUAACAGGUAAAUGCGAUUUUCAAUUAAAAUAACUAUGUAGUAUGUACACAAAUUAGGAAGAAAUCCACUGCUCAGGUGAAAUUUAAACUUACGAUCUUUAUACGCUAGACAAAUGCUUUCCCAUUUAAGCUACCGAGCCAUUUCAGUUGCUAUAAGGCGCUCAACACAGUCGUUUGGGAAACGAAACCUGUACAAUAUUCAUACAGUUUCAACAAUAAGCAAAUCGCGCUUACUCUUCGUACAUAUGACAUGGCACACUAAUUACGUAACGUUGAAAUCAGAAGCAGAAAUCCUUAAAGACAUACUGGGAAAAACUAAUAUCGAGAGGAAUUUCUAAAAGAAACCUGGAAAAAUCAAUCAAGAAAUCCUUCCAUUCAGGAUUGAAUGAAGAUCCUGGGUUAGUUAUAAGUGAUUUGUGGUUACAUCCUAAGUAAAAGAAUCCUUGAUAUAAUCUUAGGAGUAAUCCGUAAAAAAAAACCGAUGUUAGGAAGGAAAUCUAUGAAUAAAUCCCGGAGAAAUCUCGGAAUAAAUCAAGGCAGAAAUCCCUGAUUGAAUCCUUUACGAAAACCCACAAGAAUAUACCAAAAAAAUCACGUGAAGAAUCCUUAAAGAAUCCCGAGUGAGAUUAUGAAAUGAAUCGCGGAAGCAAUCUCUGAUGGAAUCACUCCAAAAAAUCCAGAAGGAAUCCACAAAGGAAAGUAAAUGGGGAGUACCGGAAAGAAUGCAGGAGAGAGUCCCUGGAGAAAUCCCUAAAAUAAGGAUUUUCAGAUCGUGCAUCUCGAAGCCCUGCCAAGUGCACCGUAAAACAUUAGAUUACUUUGCCUUUAAUUUUUUUUAACUUGUUUAGCUUUCAACCAACAGAAUUUUUUAUAUGAAACAUACUUAAACACAUAAAUUGAAUACAACGUAACUUAAACGAAUAUUAUUGUUUCUAAACAAUCGAAUACAGAAACAAGUUUUUUUUUAAACACAAAGCAUAUCUAAGGGGCCGUUCAUAAACCGCAUAGACUUUUAGGGAGGAGGGGGGGGGGGUCUGACCAAAGUCUACGCUUCAUACAAAUUUUGAAAUUUUUGUAUGGACAAAAGUCUACGAGGGGGGGGGGUGGUCUGAGAUGGGCAAAUUUUGGUCUACGUGGUUUAUGAACAGCCCCAAGAAUAUACUCGUGGAAUACUUCUGGCUACUAAUUUACAGUGGAACAAUCUUUGCUCUAUCAAAAGGAAUCAAAAGGAAAAUCUGAAAUAGACCUCACCUGCAGUAAAUUAGCGAACGCUGAGGAAUGAUUCCAUUAAGGAUUUGACUAUAAAAGUAGAACAAUAUUCAAAGGAUUUAUUCGAUUUCUCAUCAAAGCGCUUACAAGGAAUUUAAAAUGCAACGUCAGGAAAUUUUCUGAAAAACUGCUAAAAAGAAUGUUUUAGUAUAUUCAACGAUCUAAAAAAAUAUUUUCUAUGGUUUUCCAAUGAAUUCACCAAAGUUUUUAAAAUAUAUUUGUACAUGUUUUAGUUAGAAAUCAUUCUAGGAACCCUAAGAGGAAUUCAUCACUAAUCUUCUCUGCACAGAGCUCUAUAAACAAUGCACUAAGGAGUUUGUUUGGAGCUUUUCAAAAAUAUAAUUAUAAAUUCAGUAAUCAACUUGAGGAAAUAUGGAGCACAUGUUACUAUGUGUUGCAAGGAAAAUUAUCGCGUAAAGUAAUGCGCAAACGGUUAUUGAUAUGAGUGGUUGCUCCUAAUAAUUUCGAUAUCUUCUGCGCGGUUAUUUCCUGAGUCAAUUUCCGCAUUUAUAAUAGCAGACACGAACAUGAUAUGAUGUACUGGCAACAUCUAUGAGCCAUGUAAAGAUCAAUACGUCAAUAAGUUUCCAAAAGGAUGCCAAAACAGGAACUUACCAUAAAUUUGCCCAGAAUUCUCAAAUUAGUUUGCAAAUCUUCUUUGAAAUUCCGAAGAAUGACACCAACAUACGAGUUUUGCAGAUUGACAUGCAGUAAUAAUAUAAUAAAAAAAAAAUUAAAUCGGGGCGGAAAAGAUAAAAGUAAUGAGUAAAUGAAUCUGAAAAAAUGUUGACUAAUAAGUUGAAUCUUUUGGUAUGUCUGAGUUCGUGCAAGCGAUGUAUAAUCGCUGAAGGCUGCAUAUCUAUAUGAUGAAGUAUUAAUAAUGAUAAUAAUAAUAUUGAAGUAGUGCACCACGCAGCAAUUUAUUACCAAAAAGUGCACCGCAAGGUAAACGAUCUGAAAACCCCUGCCCUGGAAUCCCUGGAAAAUUAACGAAAAAAUCAAAGGAUUUUUUUUACAAUUUUGGGAGAAAACCCUAAAGAAAAACUGUAAAAAAAACAAUGAAAGGAUCCUGGGAAAUAUUUCUGAAAAAAUAUUCUUGCAUGAAGCCCGAAAAAAAUUCUGAAAAAAUCCCGGAAGAAAACCCUUGAAGAAUCCUGAUGGAAACUCGGGACAAUCGGCGAUAGAACCAUACAGGAAUCCCGGGAGAAUGUCAGAAAGUAUUUCUGAGAGAAUCCCCGAAAAAUCUUUAAAGAAAUCCCUGGAAGAAUCAAUGAAAGAAUCCCUGGAUGAAUUUCUAACGGAAUUUCACAAAGAAAAUCAUGUAGAAAAUGCCGGGAAAGAGCAAUGAAGGAUUCCCGGAAGAAACAGGGGACAUGCUGAAAGAAUACUAAGAAAAUGCUGGAAGAAAUUCUUGCAAAAACCCCGCGGGCAAUCAAUGCACAAAUCCAUGUAAGAACUCUGAAAAAAUGCUUGACGGAAACAAAGAAUGUAUUUUUCAAGAAAUUCUGUGAACCCUUCAACGCUCAUGGUAUCAGUAAAGCACCAUAACUUUUUGGCGAAUCUGAUCUAAACCAGUUUACUUUAAUAUUGUGAAAGAGUUAUUGGAAAGAGGUGACAAGCUUAUUAGAGUACAUUAUCGACUUAUUGUUUCAAAAGUGAAACUAUUGAUAAACGGUCAAUACCUAUUAAUUUACAAUCAAACGCUUUUUUACCGAUUUUGAUAAAUUAAAGCGAGUUCUAACAAAUUUUGUUCAAGCACUUUUUAUUCAUAGCGUUUAGUAGUAUUCAAAGCUUUGAGAAAAGUCGUGGGAGGUAGGGGAUUAAUAAACAAAUUAAGAAAUUCGUGGCAAAUCCCGGAAGUAAUCUCAUGAAAAAUCUUUGAAAAAUCUCGAGGGGAUUUCCCUUUGGAAUACCGGGAUUAACUUCUGAAAGCAUCACGGAAGAAAACCAGGAGAAAUCCUUUGGAAAAUAUUUGAAACGAUGCGAUCGUUGGAAGAAUUCAGAAUGGAAUUUUGGAAGGAAUCUUAAUGGGGGUGGAAGCUCAGGUAAAAUAUUAUCUCCUGGGCGCCCAUUAAAAACACCACCCCCGGCGAAGACUGGCGCUCGAGCCUAGCUAUUUAGCACUGUAGUUGGAGGAAAUGCCAAUGCAGAACCCGUAGCUUCCGGGAAGGUAAGCCCAGCUCCCUGGGUUAGUGGGUUGGUGUCAGGCCCUGCGA